rnacentral:rRNA from 1 species
ACUCCUACGGGACGCAGCAGUGGGGGAUAUUGCACAAUGGGGGAAACCCUGAUGCAGCGACGCCGCGUGAGUGAAGAAGUAUUUCGGUAUGUAAAGCUCUAUCGGCAGGGAAGAAAAAAAUGACAGUACCUGACUAAGAAGCCCCGGCUAAAUACGUGCCAGCAGCCGCGGUAAUACGUAUGGGGCAAGCGUUAUCCGGAUUUACUGGGUGUAAAGGGAGCGUAGGCGGCCUGGCAAGCCUGAUGUGAAAUACCGGGGCCCAACCCCGGGGCUGCAUUGGGAACUGCCCGGCUGGAGUGCCGGAG